GUGGUCGCGCGCCGCAGGGGGAGUGGACCUGGAGGAGAGAUGAGCCGAGCUGCGAGUUCCCGGGCCAAACGAUCAGGGGCCUAAGUCAAGUCGCGAAGGAUGUGUCGCCUUUCAGCCUGGGGAAGCGGUGGAGGGACCCGAUAGGCUCCCCUGGUAUCAGAAGAGCUCCUGAGGCAAGAUUUAAGGCAGAAAGACACAUUGUAUGUCGGAAGUGGGAUGCUGCCAGUGAGAAAACUUGGACUAUGUUGAGAGAGCCACCCGCCCCCACUAUGACAAGAGAUGGCAGUUUUACUCUGCGGAAGAGUAUGACAGCCUCCAGGUUCCUGAGCACCAAGCAACAGCAAAGGUAGAGACGGGGUGCCAUGCUGAAAUCCAGGGGAAUGAGUGACCUAUGCAUAAGAAGUGAUAGGAAGACCAGCCCCUAGAAAGCUUCCUUGUAAGCAGAAGUCCAAGUGACUCUCCUCUGGAGAGAAAGAAAGGCCCUUGAGAAAAAAUCCUACACAUACUGAAAAGCCAGCUCACUACCUGAUCAGCCCAGAGUGAAACACGAGUCAGCAAAUCUGCCCCGUGCUUCAGGUCUUUAAUCAGCUUCCCAGUGCCUCACUCAAACGACAGUAACCAGCCAAUGAUCCCCAGACACUUAGUGAAAGCCUCUUGUAUGAAGGCAGAGAUAAAAAAUAAGCCUACAAACACGAAAGAUAGAGUGAGAGAGCAAGAGCAACUAGAUUGGAGGACUCAGAAAGAAUUCAGCUAGCCAAAUAAAACAGGCAAAAGGCUGCCAUCUAAUAGCCCAGUGACUGUGCAUUCGUGAAACAAGAACAGGAUGCUUUAUAAAGGAGGGGCAAUUUUGAUCGCAGAGCAAGAAAGAACUUUGGGAAAUUAAAAAACAGGAGAGCUGAAAUUUAAAAUGUUAAUAGAAAGUUUGGAUGAUAAAACCAAAGAAUCUCCCAGGAAGUUAAAUACAUGCAUACAUACAUACAUACAUACAUACAUACACACACACAUAACAUAUAAAUGCAUAAUAAAUCCUGAAGAUGGAAUUUGGAAGGAAAAUGGGAAAAAUUAAACGACCAAUCCUGGAUUCUAUGUCUAAUACAAAUUCCACAAGGAAAGGAUAGAUGACGUUGAAAGGAGAAAUUAUCAACUCAUACAAGAAAGUUUCCCAGACACGACUUUCUGGAUUGCAAUAGCCCUCCCGGCGAGCGAUGAACGAGAAGAGGUCCACAAGAAGACUCAUCAUUAUGCAAUUUUAGGAUGCUGAAAACAAAGAGAAGAUCCAAAAGCUCUGGGGGCGGAAAAAUGUCAGAUGCCAGGGAUUUGGAAUUAGAAUGACACUGGAAACCAAAAAGACAGAGGAGAGUUGCCUCCAAAAUGCUGAGGGAAAAUAGCGUUGAACCUAGAAUUCUAUAAUCAGUUUAAAAAGUGUGAGGAGAAGAAUCAAGACUUUUUACGUAUACAAGGUCUCAAUUUUUUUUUCUCCUAUGCCCUCUUUCUCAGGAAGCCACCAAAGGAUAUAAUGAGAGGGUAACUGAAAAAAGGUGAGGGGAAACUUGGGAUCUUAUAAAAAGGAAAUCUAACAGACGAAAAGCUCUGGGGAGCACCAGGAUGACAGCUGUGGAAGACUGAAAAGCAAUCUGCCCUCAAGAGAGGGAGGAAGAUGCCCAGGAUGGACAUCUCCAGGAACUGAUAGAAAUUGAUAGAAACCCUGAUCUGUAGCCCCCUCACAUUCUCCUCUUUUGUUGUGCCAUGUGGCAGUAUUAUUAUUUUAGGUUAACUCCCUAGUGGAUACAAUGUUUUCUUUACUAUUUUUCACCAUUGAGCCAAGUAUGAAUCAUGAUUACACUUCCUUUCUUGUACAAUUUUUGUUUUUCCCCUGGAGUUAAUAAUUUCCCUUUUUACACCAUUUGAUUUGUUUUCUGUAUCUUUAUUAGGUGUUUUUCCUAAACUCUCCAAUACAACGAUAAAGCAAAUCUAUCUUCGCUUGGAAUACUGUUUCUACACAGUUCCCAUAUUGGAGUGUCUAUCAAUCAAUGGAAAAAAAUGGAAUGGCCAGGGGAGGAUAAGUUCUACAGAGAAAAGCAAAUCAAGAGUUGGAGAGAGGGAGUACCAGGGCAGGGAAGUUUUGUAAUUUUAAUUAUAUAAAUAUAUUGGUCAGACCUCACUUCAAAGAUAACUUGAAGGGAGACAUACAGGAAACCGCACCGAUGUUUGGAAGAGGAGUUCCAGGCAGAGAGAGUAGCAAGCUCAAAGUCCUAGAGACAGGAAGAUGCUGGUCUAUUCUUCAUGCAUCUACUAGAAUUUUCUUUUCUUUUUUUUUUAAUGAAGGUACUGGGGAUUGAACCUAGGACCUUGUGCAUGCUAAGCGUACACUCUACCACAGAGCUGUUACCCUUCCUGCAACUAGAACUUUUCCUUUGCAAGUUUUACAAUCAUUUCCACUAUCCAUUUCCCCAUCCAGGGGCACUCCAAUCUCUUAGACACCCAUAUUCAAACUUUAGUCACUCUUGGUGCACUUUUUUACUCCCAGGGUCCAAAUGGUGACCAAGUCGUAUGGAUGCUAUUUGCAGAACACUUAAGUUCUUUCUCUUUUUCUGUAUUUUCACUGUCACUGUAUCAAGCCUAUAAGAUAGAAAUGACAGAACAUUAGGAUUGUAAGGGACCAUCUAAUCUAACUAUCUCAUGAGGCUCAAAUUCCAUUACUUCUCUGAGAACUCUCAUAGUCAGGUCUCUGGAGCAUCAGGCAAAGCUCGAUUACACCACACCUGAGCGUGCCCCUUGCCCAAAUCCAUCCAUUUUGCCUGCUGCUCACACUCCUCACUACUCUCCACUACUCUCCUCACUGCCUAUCUGACAUGACCCCUUACACCUAAAAAGGACCCAGCGUUCAAGUUACACGAGUCUACCUUCAUUGUUCUUCAAACACACCAUGUUCAUCUCUGCCUGUAAGUCUGCACUUCCAUUCUUCUCUUUUCUGUAAUAGGCUUUCUUUUUCCCUGUGUUCAAAUUCACCCAUCUUUCGAGACCUCCUCCAGACGUGGUGUCUCUGAUGGAAUGGAGCAGGCGCCAUGUCUGAGGACGCCUGACUGCCCGCGCCCACACCCUGACGUUUGUAUCAGUCUUGUUACGAGUGCUGUCAUGCCCCACUUUACAGGUGACAAAACAAAG